GUCCACGCCGUAAACGAUGCUCACUCGCUGUAUGCGAUACACAGUAUGCGGCCAAGCGAAAGCAUUAAGUGAGCCACCUGGGGAGUACGAUCGCAAGGUUGAAACUCAAAGGAAUUGACGGGGCCCGCACAAGCGGAGGAACAUGUGGUUUAAUUCGAUGAUACGCGAGGAACCUUACCUGGGCUUAAAAUGGGGAACGACAGCUGCCGAAAAGGUGGCCUUCUUCGGACGUUCUUCAAGGUGCUGCAUGGUUGUCGU
rnacentral:rRNA from 1 species